GAAACGCAAUUUGACAGAUGCUGUCGCUGUGUCUGUUGCUGAGGUUUUUGGGAACAUUUAAUUUUGCUUUACGUUUCAAGAAUGUUAUCAAAAUAGAUAACGAUUAUGUUGCGUGUUAGUUCCUUCACGAACAGGUGGUAAUGUCGCGUCAGAGUUAGUAAGAAGCACACUCUCUGUAACGCCGAGAGAAAUGCCACUGUCGUGAUCAGGACCGCGUUUUGUUCUUUAUUUUGCCAAAAAGGGCGCACAAUUGUUGUGAACGUUAUGUAAUGUGUAUUGUAGUGUUAUCGUGAGUGCUUAUAAUAUUGUGGGGAAGAUGAGGACGGUGGCGUUGAUCAGCGGGGGUAAGGACAGCUGCUACAACAUGAUGCAGUGUGUCGGCGCCGGGCACACGAUCGUCGCGCUGGCCAACCUCCAACCUACACAUAAAGAUGAGAUGGACAGCUACAUGUACCAGACAGUGGGCCAUCAAGGAAUAGACCUGUAUGCAGAGGCUAUGGGCUUGCCACUCUAUAGGGAAGCAAUAACUGGCAAUGCUGUGAACCAAGGCAAGAGUUAUCACCCCACAGACAAUGAUGAGGUUGAGGACUUGUACAGACUUCUUUCUAAAAUUAAGAAUGAUUUAGAUAUAGAAGCGGUCGCCGUUGGUGCCAUAUUAUCCGAUUACCAAAGAAUUAGGGUUGAAAAUGUAUGUCACCGGUUAGGUCUAGUCUCGCUUGCGUACUUAUGGAGGCGGAACCAAAAGGAAUUGUUGCAAGAGAUGAUCGCUAGCGGCGUUGAAGCUAUCAUUAUUAAGGUGGCAGCACUAGGCUUGGACCCGAGGGUACACCUAGGUUUAACCCUUCGCGAGAUCCAGCCUCACCUACUAGUCAUGCAGGAGAAGUACGGGCUCAAUGUGUGCGGGGAAGGCGGCGAGUACGAGACCUUCACGCUAGACUGUCCUUUGUUUAAGAAGAAAUUAGUUAUAGAUGAUAAGGAAUUGGUGUUACACUCGGACGACCCCGUCGCUCCGGUCGGCUACUUAAACUUAAAACUUCACCUCGCGCCAAAAGAGAACUUCGACGAAGCAAUCAAACUACCUCCAACUGUUAAAAACCCGUUAGAUUUUGUAAACGAUUUAAGCGAUUCGGUGUUUAGCGAUAUAAGCGAUAUUGAGUUGAGCGAAACAGAGUUAGAGUCUAUAGAGAAGUUAGAGAAGGAGGAGAAGAAAAAGCAGAAUGAACUGAAUCCUUUGCUCACGUAUUCUGGUGAUAAGGUUACUGGUGUGGAGGUGGAUUAUCAGGAGGAGUCUGAUAGCAUAGCGGUGGCUGACGGGUACACGUACGAACAAGCUCACAGUAAACACGAAGGGCAGCCGAUCCUGGACCAUCGGAGUAUAUACGGCAACAAGCACGGCUGGUACUUCAUCGGUGGUAUUGUAGGAGAGGGCGUCGAUACCAGGCUCGCCACUGAAGUCGCUAUGAAAAAACUCAUUAGCUUACUGGAUUCCGAGUCACUGCGUCUUAACGACGUAUGCUCAGUCAACAUUUAUAUGAGGGACAUGGAAGAAUACGCUGCUUUGAAUGAAGUCUAUGUGAACACCUUUAACUUCCCCAAUCCGCCGACGCGUGUGUGCGUGCAAUGUCCAUUGCCAGAUGAUAUAGGACUUAUAUUUGAUGCUGUUGCGCACAAAUCGACAUUCAACAACACCCACGACUGCGAGGGCGCGGUCACGAAGGAGCGCGUCACCAUGCAUGUUCAGGGCAUAUCGCACUGGGCGCCGGCUAACAUCGGGCCCUACAGUCAAGCUGUGAAGGUCGGUGAAGUGAUGGGCACGUGCGGGCAGAUCGCGCUGGUGCCGGGCACGCUGCAGCUGGCGGGCGGCGGCGCGCGGGCGCAGUCGGCGCUGUCGCUGCGCCACCUCACGCGCCUGCUGCGGGCGCUGCAUGCGCGCGCGCACAUCCGCAGCGUGGUGCAGAGUGUAUGCUACGUGACGCACGGCAGCGCGGUGUGGGAGGCACGGCGGGCGCUGGAGCGUCGCACGGCGGGCGCCAUCGUGCAGUACGCGGUGGUGCAGGCGCUGCCGCGACACGCCGCCGUCGAGUGGCACGCCUGGGCGCAUACUGACAAUAACCGGUUUGAGUAUGAGGAGACAGGUUGUAAUGUAGGUGACUACAAGGUCGCCAUCACGAGGAGGUGGAACUACGAGAAUACCGUCGCCGCCUUCGUUUGUUAUGUUGCUACAAGUUCAUCCCCUUCCACGUGCCAGCUAUCGUUUCCCAGCGAGGAAGUAUGCACAACGCACCGCGUCCGCGCAACCAGUAUGACACAAGAACAAAUUGAAGAAGUACUUGAAUACGCGCUUCGCAAGCUCACGCAAGCACGAGAUAUGGACUCCAGACAUGCUGUUAAGAUGCGGAUAUUGUACCAGGUAUGGAGCGCCCCCCCAGUACCAGCGCUUCUGGCGGCGGUGUCAGCAGUCCGCGCCCGCACGGGCGUCUGCGCGGCUGUGACGGCGGUGCCGGUGCUGGCGCUGCACAACGCCUUCACCUUCCUCUCCAUCAGCGGCCUCAGGCUCGACGAGUGACGUCACACAGGUCUAGCUACUGCUGCGUGUAUGUGAUGAGGCUCGGCGGGUGAUGUUACACAGGUCAUUGAACUGCUGUAUGUUUCAUCGAAAUAUAAGGAUACAGAUGCUUUAUUGCCAGUUUAUAAAAUAUAUUUGCUGAAUAUUUUCAGUGUUUAUAAAAUUUUGUUAAAUUAUGCUACCGAGUUUACCAUACUGUAAGUCAAAUUAUAUAUACAUUAUUUUUUAUUGCA
rnacentral:misc_RNA from 1 species